AAUUGAUCAAGGAUGAUGAAAAAGAGG
rnacentral:piRNA from 1 species